rnacentral:rRNA from 1 species
UACGUAGGGGGGCGAGCGUUGUCCGGAUUUAUUGGGCGUAAAGAGCGUGUAGGCGGCCCCGGUAAGUCCGCUGUGAAAGCCCCCGGGCUCAACCUGGGAAUGGCGGUGGAUACUGAGAAGCUGGAGUACGGUAGAGGAAGGUGGAAUUCCCGGUGUAGCGGUGAAAUGCGUAGAGAUCGGGAGGAACAUCAGUGGCGAAGGCGGCCUUCUGGACCAGUACUGACGCUGAGGCACGAAAGCGUGGGGAGCAAACAGG